AUCCAACUGAUGAGUCCUAAAUAGGACGAAACGCGCAUCCUGGAC
rnacentral:hammerhead_ribozyme from 1 species